rnacentral:rRNA from 1 species
GACGAACGCUGGCGGCGUGCUUAACACAUGCCAGUCGAACGGUGAACCUCUUCGGAGUGGCUCAGUGGCGAACGGGUGAGUAACACGUGGGCAACCUGCCCCCGGCUCUGGGAUAACUCCAAGAAAUUGGGGCUAAUACCGGAUGUUCACCGCUUCCCGCAUGGGUGGUGGUGAAAAGGGUUUCCGGCUGGGGAUGGGCCCGCGGCCUAUCAGCUUGUUGGUGGGGUAGUGGCCUACCAAGGCGACGACGGGUAGCCGGCCUAGGAGGGUGACCGGCAACACUGGGUCCGAGACAGGGCCAAGCCUCUAACGGGAGCCAGAAGGGGGGAAUAGAGCGCAAUGGAGGAAGCCUGAAGAAGCGAAGCAGCGUGGGGGAUGACGGCCUUCGGGUUGUAAACCUCUUUCAGCAGGGACGAAGCGCAAGUGACGGUACCUGCAGAAGAAGCACCGGCCAACUACGUG